GUGAGAAGAAAUUCCUUUUUUCCUGCACUGAAUCUUCCACUUCUCUCCAAACCUGUGCUCUGCUCUGCUGCACUGUUCCUAGUGUGCCUUUCCGUAGGACUGGCUCCUGCCUGAGGCAAGCAGUCGUCUUUCAGCUGAAGCUUCAAGAAGAAAAAUUGCAUCAUCUUUGAAAGUGUGGGUGAAGUCAUGAGUAGCUGUGAAAGUGCCAUGCGCCUCACCUUCAGCCUUCCAGCUGCCUCUCCGCAGACAAGGAUAUACAGCACGGAACCAAGUAGCUGUGCCUGACCUCAGGCCUGUUGAUCUGUGCUUGCAACUCUACUGAAGGAGGAAGAGUAGAGGUUUGUGAGCUGCAAACUGGGGCCAAGUGUGCAACCUCUGCCUGUGAUGAGACAUCCUCAUAGUUACUGGUCUGCUUUAACAUUAAUCUUGGGCUGCUGUCCUUUGCUUAGAUGCUGUUCUGCCGUUUGCGGUGCUGUUCUGUCCUGCACAAUGGAGCUGCGUUGUCACGUCCUUAGAUCAGCCUGUUGCUGGAGGAGGAGUCUGGAGAAAUGUUCUGUGGGUGCUUCUCUGCAGCCGGCAGCCUGCGAUGGCUUGGGCUGUCCCUUCCAGACUGACGGUGCCCUGAGCUUCAGCRGAGAGCUGGCAGAAGGACCGGUGGCCAGAAGUUUAGGAUACAUCUGCAGUGCUAAGAGGAGGAGCGGCUGUGAUGUAUACCAGCGCCCUGAACUAACCAAAGUGAUGGGGRCCCUCAGUGUUCGGCGCGGCUGCCACCACGGACAGACGUGUCCCUUGGGUUCGCAAGCCAUGCCUUCGAGCGCCGUUCCCUCCUCGCGUCCUGGCAGCCCGGCCCUGCUCUGAGCUGCCGGUCGCCUUGUCGAGUUGCACAGUCGGUGCCAGUUUCCGCUACCCGAGGACCCCGUCUUUGGCCUUGCAGGGUGCCACCGGACCAGGCGUGAACUUGCUGUCCCUGUGCCACUGCUUGGAGACUCUUCUUGGCUCUUGCAGAGAAGCUCAUGCUGUUUCCGGGGGGUCUAGUUUUGUAUCUGGAAAAACUCAAAGUGUCCCAGGAACAGCUGGCAGAAGGUGAAUUGCUUCUGGUAGGCUUUGUAGUAAAAUACAACCGUGCUCAGUCUUUUCUCUGAUAAGAGUCUUCAGACCUGGACUUCCCUGGGUGUCACCGCUGGGUAGCUUUCUGCAAUUUGGGCUGUGCCAAGGAAGGCAGAAGAGAAAGGUUCCUCUGGGCAGUUUUAACAUGCAUGAUUUAUCAUCUCUUUGAAAUGAAAAGCCCAAUUAAUGGCUACAACGAAGGAAAAAUGUCAUAUAUUUCUAGCCCCUGAUCCUCUAGAGGUAAAAGCUUCUUAUC
rnacentral:lncRNA from 1 species